rnacentral:tRNA from 1 species
GCCCAGGUAGCUCAGUCGGUAGAGCAGAGGACUGAAAAUCCUUGUGUCGGUGGUUCGAUUCCGCCCCUGGGCACCA